UGCCAGCCGCCGCGGUAAUACGGGGGGUGCAAGCGUUGUUCGGAAUUAUUGGGCGUAAAGCGCGUGUAGGCGGUUCGUUAAGUCUGAUGUGAAAGCCCGGGGCUCAACUCCGGAACUGCUCUUAAAACUGCUAAGCUAGAGAUGGUCAGAGGCGGGUAGAAUUCCUGGUGUAGAGGUGAAAUUCGUAGAUAUCAGGAGGAAUACCGGUGGCGAAGGCGGCCCGCUGGGGCCAUUCUGACGCUAAGGUGCGAAAGCGUGGGGAGCGAACGGGAUUAGAUA
rnacentral:rRNA from 1 species